rnacentral:rRNA from 1 species
AGGUGGAACUGCGGAAGGACAUUG